rnacentral:piRNA from 1 species
UGCAGUCACCUCCACUAUAGUAAGCA